rnacentral:rRNA from 1 species
GACGGUAGGGCGCGAGCGUUGUCCGGAUUUAUUGGGCGUAAAGAGCUCGUAGGCGGCUUGUCGCGUCGACUGUGAAAACCCGCGGCUCAACUGCGGGCCUGCAGCCGAUACGGGCUAGGCUAGAGUUCGGAUCGGGGAGACUGGAAUUCCUGGUGUAGCGGUGAAAAUGCGCAGAUAUCAGGAGGAACACCGGUGGCGAAGGCGGGUCUCUGGGCAACAACGUGACGCUGAGGAGCGAAAGCGUGGGGAGCGAACAGG